GACGUAGGGCGCGAGCGUUGUCCGGAUUUAUUGGGCGUAAAGAGCUCGUAGGCGGCUUGUCGCGUCGUUCGUGAAAACCUGCAGCUCAACUGCAGGCUUGCGGUCGAUACGGGCAGGCUAGAGUUCGGUAGGGGAGACUGGAAUUCCUGGUGUAGCGGUGAAAUGCGCAGACUAUCAGGAGGAACACCGGUGGCGAAGGCGGGAUCUCUGGGCGGCAUACUGAC
rnacentral:rRNA from 1 species